AAGAGCUGAAAGAUGCUAAAAUGUCUGUGAUACACAGAAACUGUUAUCUCGUGGUUAAUCUCUGCAUAACAUCUACAUUAGACUCGCUACAUUAUAAAUGCUGUUUCCUUGCACAACAUUCAACAGCAUGCACAACUAACAAAAGACGAUAUAGCAACAGAGCUUACAGCAAAGACCUGGCCACAUUAAAAUACCAAGACAUGCAAGCAAAACAGCAACAUCAAAUCACAGAAGGAGAAAUUCUACAUUUUCAGUAAAGUGGGAGUUUCCAGAUAUCUGAAAACAAUUUGCCUGUGGAACAUUUAGAGUUGAAGUCCGACUGCUGCUGUGUUUUACCAGUGAUAAGCAGGAGCACGCCAGUGAUGCAAAGCACUAGUUUCCUCACUACAUCAUUUACAAAAAAGCUCUGUUUUGGGGACAGAGGAUAGCCCUUUUAGUCUGGAUCGAGGCUGAAAACAGGGACAAUAACAAGCAAUUAUGAAUUAAGCCAGCAUAGUUAUUACAUGGCUUAAUACUGUAAGCAAUAUGAAAUGUAAAAAUACAGGUUCUACUACUACUACUAAGAGGAAGAAAGAUAUGUUUUACUUCUGUACAUCUUUUUAAGGUGGCUUACAUGACAAACUCAGCUGAUAAAAAAUAAUUGAGUCAACAAAGCUACAUGCAAAAAUUCUGAAAUUUGAGAAUAAUUGAGCCUCGUUUGUAACCCAGUGAAAGAAGGUUGCCUUUGGAAGCCAUGUUCAUGCGUCCAAUUAAUGCAGACAAAGCCUCGAGGAGAGUGAGACUGUGGAAAAGUACAGAGGAUGGUAGCAACGCAUGAUACAUAAAAGGAGAAGGAGUCGUGCUAAUCAAUGAGACGGGGACUUCACAGGGUUGCCUAGUCAUCGGUUACCAUCCCCGGUUGCCACAGUAACGGGAGUGGAGACACAUAGAUGCCAAGGAAGAACAAAGUCACCAUGGUGAUGAGGUGAUAAGCUUGCUGUCUUACAAGGAUGAAAAAGACAGAAAACCAAGAAUGAAAAUCAAAGAAGAGGAAAAAGAUCCCUCUACACAUGACCCCUGCACAAGAUUCAACACAUCCAUCUACUGUAUUUACACCCCUGAUACUUCACAUAUUAUAUCUUGUAUUUCUGUUUGCCUGCCUUCAAGUCAUCAACUGUAUGUUUAUCUUUAAGCACAGAAGUCAAAUGCUCAACUCAGGAUGCCAUAGUUAAAGACAAUUCUCUCGCAUCAGUAGAAAAAACAAAAUAAAAAAUGAGAUGACCUCAUUUGCUAAAGCAGUAAUAUGAUACCCUGACUGUACACAAACUGUACAUAAAAGAUGGAAAUAACUAGUUGCUCUUAAAAGUAAAGCCAUUAACCUUAAACCCUCAUGCUUUGUAAUGUCCACCAGGGGGCGAUUCCUCUGGUUGAUGAAAACAUUAUUUUCAGCUCAGCUCUGUCAGUUGAUCUCCUGCUCCCAUCUCCCGUCACUCGUGAACAAGACACCGAGAUACUUAAACUCCUCCACUUGGGCCAGGAACUUGUCCCUGACCCGGAGUGGGCACUCCACCACUUUCCAGCUGAGGACUAUGGCCAUGGUUCAUUUUGUAACUUAUUAAAACAGGUUAUGUUUCACAUGUGACAAAGUCCUGGUGUCUGAGCAUAGACUAUCCAUCAAUUUUACAUUCAGAUUCACCUCCCAAUUGUUAUGUCAAAACUCUAAGCUUAUGGAUUCACGUUUUAUAUGGAUUACAUGUUUUGACUCCAUUUUUGCUACUUUGUGUCCACUUGUUGGAAUUUAAAGUUAGACAUAUUUUGAAUAC